AUCAUCUAGGGAUCUUGUUAAAAUGCAGAUUCUGAAUUCAGCAGAUCGGCAUUCUGGAUUUCUAACAAGCUCCCAGGUGACGCAGA
rnacentral:pre_miRNA from 1 species